AGCUCCAAUAGCGUAUAUUAAAGUUGCUGCAGUUAAAAAGCUCGUAGUUGGAUCUCGGGGUACCUGGUCUAGCCGGUAUAGCUCACGCUAAAACUGGUCUGAGCCCCCAACGUGAGGUAUUCGUCUCCGGGUGCACUUCAUUGGGUGCUCGUGAGGGGCCUCGUAGUUACUGUGAAAAAAUUAGAGUGUUCAAAGCAGGCUCAUAUGUUCGGAUAGUCGUGCAUGGUUUUUCAGUUGGUCUCGGCGACUGGUCAAAUGAUUAAGAGGGACUGCCGGGGGCAUUGGUAUGGCGGGGUUAGAGGUGAAAUUCUUGGAUCCUCGCCAGACCAACAAAAGCGAAAGCAUUUGCCAAGAAUGUCUUCA
rnacentral:rRNA from 1 species